rnacentral:lncRNA from 1 species
GACACAAUGUUUGUGAAAUGAAAAUUGGUUCAUGUUCAAAUGUCAACUCUGUUUCUGUCAUUGACUCAUUCACAGGACAUCUGUGAUGGGGUUGAUAUGAUGGCAGCGGUUAGUUCAACUCCCGCAACAUCCAAAGACGACACUUGCCACCAUAUACUUACCAGCGCAUUUGUCAACGCUUUGGACCAUUGUGAAGCUUGCAAUGGACCUGUCUCCGCUCUAAGAUGGCUUGGUUACACAUGCAAAUUGUGUUCAAGGUCGUGGCACAAAUCCUGCUUUAUCAAGAUGAAUCCGUUGCAGGUAUGUUCAUUGUCUUCUAUUCCAUUUUAAAUUUG